rnacentral:rRNA from 1 species
UACGUAGGGCGCAAGCGUUGUCCGGAAUUAUUGGGCGUAAGGAGCUCGUAGGCGGUCUGUCGCGUCUGCCGUGAAAACCCAUGGCUUAACUGUGGGCUUGCGGUGGAUACGGGCGGACUUGAGGUAGGUAGGGGAGAAUGGAAUUCCCGGUGUAGCGGUGAAAUGCGCAGAUAUCGGGAGGAAUACCGGUGGCGAAGGCGGCCUUCUGGACCAUUCCUGACACUGAGACGCGAAAGCGUGGGUAGCAAACAGG